AUCCACCCAUAAUUAUGUUUUUCCAGUCUUUAUGGGAUAUUUUUUCUCCCCAGCCUGCCACUGGCGUUGCAGAGAUGGCUGCUGUGGCAUCUUUGUGUCAAUGAGUGGCAAGAGAGACCCAGGCUAUAUUCUACGCUCGUUUGUUCUGCACCCCGUGAGCACUCAGAGUGAUUGAUAGCCUGACAUUCAUUAAUCAGCUGCUUCAUGGGAGUCUGGGGAAAGCUAACUCUGACCUGCUUUAAAUGUGAGAUGUGGAUGUAACAAGACAGAAGUUCUGUUUGAUCUGUGCUGCAGAAACGCUGCGCGUGGCUUUCUGAUUAUUUCGCCUUGAAGAUCAGAUCCUGUGGGUGCCACUUGUGUUUCAGAUGGAUGAGUUGAUCUGUCUGAAGCCACGUGGCAACUUGGUGACAGCACCAGGAGUCACAGACCUUAAUCCUAUUAAAAAAUAAAAAUAUUCCCGUGCUGGUAAUUUAUUCCUUCUAAAUUCCUGUUGCCAAUGAAACAGUAACCAUGUAACCAGGUUUUGGGAUGUGUCUAAACCCURUCCAUGUAUUUCUUGCUUUUCCAGAGGCAGCUGUGAGCCGUGGCAGAGCUGGAGAUGCCCCAGAGCCCAGUGACUUUAGAGCAGGACAACUCAGGAAAGUUUUCAAAUGUCAAAGAUCAUGCCUUGAGUUGCAGAAUCUCAGACAAGCGUGGCAACUAAAAACUGGUUGGCAGCGUCUGCAUCCGACAACUCAGAGAUUUCUAAAACUUGAUCAUCUGUGUUUUCUCUACAUGGUUUAGAAGGUUUUAAAUGAAAAAAAAAAACCUAAAUAAAGAUGCCACCUACGAGACUGAAAUGAUUAUGCUGUGUAUUUGUAGCACCCCAAGUAAUGCUAUUUUUUAACCAUUGUAGGAUUUAAGACUUACAAUUGUGCAUAUGAGAACUUAAGGAUGAUUUUAAAGAUAUUAAAAGUUUUAUUUCCAUCGCCUUGGGCACAAAGCUCUGUUGCAGAAGCAGUGGCAUCCAGUGAGAGCUGGGAGUGUCCUGGCUUU